rnacentral:rRNA from 1 species
CGGCAGGCCUAACACAUGCAAGUCGAGCGGUAGAGAGAAGCUUGCUUCUCUUGAGAGCGGCGGACGGGUGAGUAAUACCUAGGAAUCUGCCUGAUAGUGGGGGAUAACGUUCGGAAACGGACGCUAAUACCGCAUACGUCCUACGGGAGAAAGCAGGGGACCUUCGGGCCUUGCGCUAUCAGAUGAGCCUAGGUCGGAUUAGCUAGUUGGUGAGGUAAUGGCUCACCAAGGCUACGAUCCGUAACUGGUCUGAGAGGAUGAUCAGUCACACUGGAACUGAGACACGGUCCAGACUCCUACGGGAGGCAGCAGUGGGGAAUAUUGGACAAUGGGCGAAAGCCUGAUCCAGCCAUGCCGCGUGUGUGAAGAAGGUCUUCGGAUUGUAAAGCACUUUAAGUUGGGAGGAAGGGCAGUUACCUAAUACGUGACUGUCUUGACGUUACCGACAGAAUAAGCACCGGCUAACUCUGUGCCAGCAGCCGCGGUAAUACAGAGGGUGCAAGCGUUAAUCGGAAUUACUGGGCGUAAAGCGCGCGUAGGUGGUUUGUUAAGUUGAAUGUGAAAUCCCCGGGCUCAACCUGGGAACUGCAUCCAAAACUGGCAAGCUAGAGUAUGGUAGAGGGUAGUGGAAUUUCCUGUGUAGCGGUGAAAUGCGUAGAUAUAGGAAGGAACACCAGUGGCGAAGGCGACUACCUGGACUGAUACUGACACUGAGGUGCGAAAGC